CUCAUAUAAUGUUAAUCAUGGUUACUUUGGUUUAGGUCUAUAGUAUCUCAUAUAAUGUUAAUCAUGGUUACUUUGGUAUAGGUCUAUAGUAUCUCAUAUAAUGUUAAUCAUGGUUACUUUGGUAUAGGUCUAUAGUAUCUCAUACAGUGUUAAUCAUGGUUACUUUGGUAUAGGUCUAUAGUAUCUCAUAUAGUGUUAAUCAUGGUUACUUUGGUAUAGAUCUAUAGUAUCUCAUAUAGUGUUAAUCAUGGUUACUUUGGUAUAGGUCUAUAGUAUCUCAUAUAAUGUUAAUCAUGGUUACUUUGGUAUAGGUCUAUAGUAUCUCAUAUAAUGUUAAUCAUGGUUACUUUGGUAUAGGUCUAUAGUAUCUCAUAUAGUGUUAAUCAUGGUUACUUUGGUAUAGGUCUAUAGUAUCUCAUAUA